rnacentral:rRNA from 1 species
CACGUGAGCAACCUACCCUUGACACUGGGAUAACAGUUGGAAACAGCUGCUAAUACCGGAUACGAACUCAGCAGGCAUCUGCCGAGUUGGAAAGCUCCGACGGUCAAGGAUGGGCUCGCGGCCUAUCAGCUUGUUGGUGAGGUAACGGCUCACCAAGGCGACGACGGGUAGCCGGCCUGAGAGGGCGACCGGCCACACUGGGACUGAGAUACGGCCCAGACUCCUACGGGAGGCAGCAGUGGGGAGUAUUGCGCAAUGGGCGAAAGCCUGACGCAGCAACGCCGCGUGCGGGAUGACGGCCUUCGGGUUGUAAACCGCUUUCAGCAGGGACGAAACUGACGGUACCUGCAGAAGAAGCACCGGCUAACUACGUG